rnacentral:rRNA from 1 species
CCCUUAGAUGUUCUGGGCCGCACGCGCGCUACACUGACGAAUGCAACGAGCUUAUAACCUUGGCCGAAAGGUCUGGGUAAUCUCCAAAUUUCGUCGUGAUGGGGAUAGAUUAUUGCAAUUAUUAAUCUUCAACGAGGAAUGCCUAGUAAGCGCAAGUCAUCAGCUUGCGUUGAUUACGUCCCUGCCCUUUGUACACACCGCCCGUCGCACCUACCGAUUGAAUGGUCCGGUGAAGCCUCCGGAUUGGCGCGCACCUCGGUGCCGCCGAGAAGUUGGCUAAACCUUACCAUUUAGAGGAAGGUGAAGUCGUANCA